AUCGGAUAAUUUACAGGAAAGCCAGGACAUGGACAGUGGCAGAAGAUGUGUGUAUAGUUCGGCAUAUUUUAUCACAUGCAUAGGUUUGUAACAGCCACGGCAAUCAAGAUACAGAGCUGUUUCAUCACAAAGUUCUCCCUUUCUGGAGGUAAGAAGCCCGAGAUCAAGGUUCAGCAGAGUUGGCUUCUUCUAAGGGGCCUGAAGAAGGAUUUAUUCCUGGCCUCUCUCCUUGAUUUUCACCCAGGGAUCUAAGCUGAUGGAGGCUCCAUCCUGACACGUGUUUCUGCCAUCAUUAAGGCUCCAGUGUGGGGGAAGCAGUUUGAAAGUCAGCAG